rnacentral:rRNA from 1 species
GCUUAACCGGAGAAGUGCAUCGGAAACUGGAUAACUUGAGUGCAGAAGAGGGCAGUGGAACUCCAUGUGUAGCGGUGGAAUGCGUAGAUAUAUGGAAGAACACCAGUGGCGAAGGCGGCUACCUGGUCUGCAACUGACGCUGAGACUCGAAAGCAUGGGUAGCGAACAGGAUUAGAUACCCUGGUAGUCCAUGCCGUAAACGAUGAGUGCUAGGUGUUGGAGGGUUUCCGCCCUUCAGUGCCGGAGCUAACGCAUUAAGCACUCCGCCUGGGGAGUACGACCGCAAGGUUGAAACUCAAAGGAAUUGACGGGGGCCCACACAAGCGGUGGAGCAUGUGGUUUAAUUCGAAGCUACGCGAAGAACCUUACCAGGUCUUGACAUCUUGCGCCAACCCUAGAGAUAGGGCGUUUCCUUCGGGAACGCAAUGACAGGUGGUGCAUGGUCGUCGUCAGCUCGUGUCGUGAGAUGUUGGGUUAAGUCCCGCAACGAGCGCAACCCUUGUUACUAGUUGCCAGCAUUAAGUUGGGCACUCUAGUGAGACUGCCGGUGACAAACCGGAGGAAGGUGGGGACGACGUCAGAUCAUCAUGCCCCUUAUGACCUGCGCUACACACGUGCUACAAUGGACGGUACAACG